UUCAGUGUUGACGAAAUAGAAAAAAUAAAAACAAGAGAGAGCGUUCUCUCUGAUGGUGUUGAUUGACUCUCCCGCAUUAGUGUCUCUCUCUCUCUCGUUGAUGAUGAUUGCUGAAGGAUAAAGAAAGAGUCGGAACAGAAUUUGGGAGGAUGAUUGCUCAAACAACAACGGUGAAAAUCCUCUCCUUAGGAUCGUUGAUGAAUUAGCAGGAUAUGGCGCAAGUGAUGGAUGAUCGCAGGAGGAGGAGGAGGACGGUUGUUUCCAUGGCGUUUCUUCACCUGAUUUUAAAGAUCGGGGAGAUGGUUUGAAGAAUGAAUGACGUUUCAGACUUGGGGGAUUUUAGGAUCAGAGAUGUUUUGAAGAAGACUCGGGAUUAAACAAGUCGUCUAAGCAGCAGGUAUGAAGCUUCUUUUCACUUGGAUUUUAAGAAUUAUAUAUACGAGUGGCAUUUAGGUUGUUAUUUUCAGACAUCAAAAACGAACCAUGGUUCUUCUGAUCGGGGAGAAGAAAAAACUUGGCCGACGGGCGUGCUCACAGUGUAACAACAUGAAACUAAUUUUGUUGUGAUUGAACAUCUUUGACUCUAUACAAUACGUCUUCCUCCUUGUCCACUUCAAAUUCCCCAUCCGUAAGUCUACUCUAGAUGGAGAUAAUAAUAUAUGGUUCCCUUUCUUCCGUUGGAAAAAUGGUCUUCCUCUCUUUACUUUGUUCUGUUUCAAGUUUACUCAACCACUUUAUCGGAAGACUGUAGAAGAUUCAGACCGCUCAAGGUUUUGCUUCAGUCAUCAACACAAUCACUCAGUCACUCAGUACGUAGGAUCUCAUUCUCUUACUGUUGCAGCACCUACAUCUUCAAACAAUGGAAAAGGCUAACCAGCAUGCAUGAAACAUCUUCAAUAGAACAAUGAUUGCAUGCCUCACCUUACUGAACCGAGGAGCCCUGUUCCAAAAAAUGCGAAGAGCUCAUCUUACUACUGCAGAACUUGAGCAAGAAGAAUGCACCAAAGUUCAAAUACGAAAAGGUGAGAAGAACAUCAACAGCUGAGGAGCAUGUUUCUUUUGGACUCUGUGAAAGAGACUAUCACCUUUGCCUCUGGAAUCUUCUGGUAUUGGCUAUGGUCGUACUGCUGACAUUCCUCUUGACAGACCGGGCUCUGGUACACAGGUUUGAUUGACAAUGGAAAUUGUGAAAUUUGGAAGGCUUUUUCAUAAUAGAAUGCUUGUUAAGUAAGCCCUGUAGUGUAAAGCAUAAUUUUAGUUUUUUGAGGAAACAAGUAAAAAACAAAGAAGUUGAUUUAACAA